CAUACAUUGUCCAUCGGGUGAUGGUAAUAAAACAGGAUUCGAGUUGGACUAUCUGUUGACGUGCUGGUUUUAUCCAUACAUUGUCCAUCGAGUGAUGGUAAUAAAACAGGAUUCGAGAUGGACUAUCUGUUGACGUGCUGGUUUUAUCCAUAGAUUGUCCAUCGGGUGAUGGUAAUAAAACAGGAUUCGAGUUGGACUAUCUGUUGACGUGCUGGUUUUAUCCAUACAUUGUCCAUCGGGUUAUGGUGAUAAAACAGGAUUCGAGUUGGACUAUCUGUUGUCGUGCUGGUAGG